ACCUCAACAACAUAGCCAGGUGAGGACCUUCCCAUCACCAACAAUCCAGACUGAUGAGUUGAGAGAGGGUGGAAAUUUCCAGCUGGCUGCACGACAGUUAAUCCCGAUGAGGCAGAACGGAGAGCCAUGAAAUGAGUCUACACCUGACAGUACCAACUGAGCUAACGGACCAUCGACUGGAUGCAGACGACCAUCCAACAGGAAGACCCACAUGACACCACGGUUCAUUAUCCUGAUGCUAUUCCGUGCGUUGCCCCAGUCCUAGUUCCCUGCCUUCAACAGCUAGAUCACAAAGCCCACCCCUCCCUUCUAGAUACGGACACAGCAGCUGUUACCCAAAAGAGGUAACAGGGAACGUUGUUCCACUGCAUAAAUCACCUAAGGUAAGAGAUGCUGACUUCUUUACCCUCAGUGGCCAUUUUGUUUCCAAAAUGAAGGAAAUGGCUGUGACUCCAUAACAGUAUAUUCUAGGCCAGACAUGGGGGAGGGAGAGUGGAGCAGAGUCACUGUAACACGUCAAUAAACAGAAAUCAGAAAAAAAAUUAAGCAUUAUCUUAGGACUCUGCAUCCAUUUA